rnacentral:rRNA from 1 species
UUGUACUGCGAAACUGCGAAUGGCUCAUUAUAUAAGUUAUCGUUUAUUUGAUAGCACCUUACUACUUGGAUAACCGUGGUAAUUCUAGAGCUAAUACAUGCUAAAAAUCCCGACUUCGGAAGGGAUGUAUUUAUUAGAUUAAAAACCAAUGCCCUUCGGGGCUCCCUGGUGAUUCAUGAUAACUUUUCGAAUCGCAUGGCCUUGCGCCGGCGAUGGUUCAUUCAAAUUUCUUCCCUAUCAACUUUCGAUGCGAAGGUCUUGUCUUCGCAUGGUGACAACGGGUAACGGAGGGUUAGGGCUCGACCCCGGAGAAGGAGCCUGAGAAACGGCUACUACAUCCAAGGAAGGCAGCAGGCGCGCAAAUUACCCAAUCCCGACACGGGGAGGUAGUGACAAUAAAUACUGAUACAGGGCUCUUUUGGGUCUUGUAAUCGGAAUGAGUACAAUUUAAAUCCCUUAACGAGGAACAAUUGGAGGGCAAGUCUGGUGCCAGCAGCCGCGGUAAUUCCAGCUCCAAUAGCGUAUAUUAAAGUUGUUGUGGUUAAAAAGCUCGUAGUUGAACCUUGGGCCUGGCUGGCCGGUCCCCCUCACCGGGUGCACUGGUCCGGCCGGGCCUUUCCCUCUGUGGAACCGCAUGCCCUUUAUUGGGUGUGUCGGGGAAACAGGACUUUUACUGUGAAAAAAUUAGAGUGCUCCAGGCAGGCCUAUGCUCGAAUACAUUAGCAUGGAAUAAUAGAAUAGGACGUGUGGUUCUAUUUUGUUGGUUUCUAGGACCGCCGUAAUGAUUAAUAGGGACAGUCGGGGGCAUCAGUAUUCAAUUGUCAGAGGUGAAAUUCUUGGAUCUAUUGAAGACUAACUACUGCGAAAGCAUUUGCCAAGGAUGUUUUCAUUGAUAAGGAACGAAAGUUAGGGGAUCGAAGACGAUCAGAUACCGUCGUAGUCUUAACUAUAAACUAUGCCGACUAGGGAUCGGACGAUGUUACUUUUUGACUCGUUCGGCACCUUUCGAGAAAUCAAAGUGCUUGG